UACAGAGGGUGCAAGCGUUGUUCGGAAUUAUUGGGCGUAAAGGGCGCGUAGGCGGUGCGGCAAGUCACCUGUGAAACCUCUGGGCUUAACUCAGAGCCUGCAGGCGAAACUGCCGUGCUUGAGUGUGGGAGAGGUGCGUGGAAUUCCCGGUGUAGCGGUGAGAUGCGUAGAUAUCGGGAGGAACACCUGUGGCGAAAGCGGCGCACUGGACCACAACUGACGCUGAGGCGCGAAAGCUAGGGGAGCAAACAGG
rnacentral:rRNA from 1 species